UACGUAGGGGGCUAGCGUUGCCCGGAAUCAUUGGGCGUAAAGCGCGUGUAGGCGGUCCGGUAAGUCCGCUGUGAAAGUCGGGGGCUCAACCCUCGGAUGCCGGUGGAUACUGUCGGGCUUGAGUACGGAAGAGGCGAGUGGAAUUCCUGGUGUAGCGGGUGAAAUGCGCAGAUAUCAGGAGGAACACCAAUGGCGAAGGCAGCUCGCUGGAACGGUACUGACGCUGAGGUGCGAAAGCGUGGGGAGCAACAGG
rnacentral:rRNA from 1 species